rnacentral:piRNA from 1 species
GAUCACUUGAGUCUAAGAGGUUGAGGU